AUUGAACGCUGGCGGCAGGCCUAACACAUGCAAGUAGAGCGAGCGGCGGACGGGUGAGUACUGUCUGGGAACCUGCCUGAUGGAGGGGGAUAACUACUGGCAACGGUAGCUAAUACCGCAUCCCAUCCGCUUUUCCCCGAUGGGAUUAGCUAGUAGGUGGGGUAAUGGCUCCCCUAGGCGACGCUCCCUAGCUGGGCUGAGAGGAUGACCAGCAACACUGGAACUGAGACACGGUCCAGACUCCUACGGAAGGCAGCAGGGGGGAAUAUGGCACAAUGGGCGCAAGCCUGAUGCAGCCAUGCCGCGUGUGUGAAGAAGGCCUUCGGGUUGUAAAGCACUUUCAGCGGGGAGGCGUUAACCGAAGAAGAAGCACCGGCUAACUCCGUGCCAGCCGCCGCGGUAAUAC
rnacentral:rRNA from 1 species